rnacentral:rRNA from 1 species
UACGUAGGAGGCGAGCGUUGUCCGGAAUCACUGGGUGUAAAGCGCGUGUAGGCGGCCUGCCAAGUCUGCUGUGAAAGCGCCUGGCUUAACCGGGCGAGGUCGGUGGAAACUGGCGGGCUGGAGGCUGGUAGAGGGGGGUGGAAUUCCGCGUGUAGCAGUGAAGUGCGUAGAGAUGCGGAGGAACACCGAUGGCGAAGGCAGCCCCCUGGGCUGACACUGACGCUCAGGCACGAAAGCGUGGGGAGCAAACAGG